UACGGAGGGUGCAAGCGUUAUCCGGAUUUACUGGGUUUAAAGGGUGCGUAGGUGGGUUGGUAAGUCAGUGGUGAAAUACUUUCGCUUAACGAAGGAACUGCCAUUGAUACUACCAGUCUUGAAUGCAGUGGAGGUAAGGCGGAAUGCGUCAUGUAGCGGUGAAAAUGCUUUAGAUAUGACGCAGAACACCAAUUGCGAAGGCAGCUUGCUACACUGUUUAUUGAC
rnacentral:rRNA from 1 species